UUCAACAGUUCAACUACGAAGGAAUUAUGCUAUUGAGCGAUGCACUGGUCAUGUUGCUUGGUACAAAUUGGGCUCCUACUGUGUUAAGCACAUCAACCAGAUGUUGGACUAUACGUCAGCUGAGAAUCACUGCAAAUCUGUGAAGUCUGGUGCUCAUCUGGUAUCAGUCCACAGUGCUGAGGACAACAAUGCCGUGGAUGAAUUCAGUCAGUGGAGCAGCCGACAUAACCCUCGCAUCUGGCUCGGUGGUCAUGCAGUAAAUGACCCUUCACAGGCUAGCAACUUCCUCUGGGUCGAUGGGUCUGAUAUGAAUUUCUCUGCCUGGAUUCAGGAACCCA